rnacentral:rRNA from 1 species
UACGUAGGGUGCAAGCGUUGUCCGGAAUUAUUGGGCGUAAAGAGCUCGUAGGUGGCCUGUCGCGUCGGCUGUGAAAACUCGGGGCUCAACUCCGAGCUUGCAGUCGAUACGGGCAGACUAGAGGUAUGCAGGGGAGAACGGAAUUCCUGGUGUAGCGGUGAAAUGCGCAGAUAUCAGGAGGAACACCGGUGGCGAAGGCGGUUCUCUGGGCAUUACCUGACGCUGAGGAGCGAAAGUGUGGGGAGCGAACAGG